rnacentral:rRNA from 1 species
UACGUAGGGGGCAAGCGUUGUCCGGAAUUACUGGGCGUAAAGCGUGCGCAGGCGGUUUUGUAAGUCAGAUGGGAAAUCCCCGGGCUUAACCUGGGAACUGCGUUUGAAACUACAAGGCUAGAGUGUGGCAGAGGGGGGUGGAAUUCCACGUGUAGCAGUGAAAUGCGUAGAGAUGUGGAGGAACACCGAUGGCGAAGGCAGCCCCCUGGGUUAACACUGACGCUCAGGCACGAAAGCGUGGGGAGCAAACAGG